AGAGUUUGAUCCUGGCUCAGGACGAACGCUGGCGGCGUGCUUAACACAUGCAAGUCGAACGGAAAGGCCCUUUCGGGGGUACUCGAGUGGCGAACGGGUGAGUAACACGUGGGUGAUCUGCCCUGCACUUUGGGAUAAGCCUGGGAAACUGGGUCUAAUACCGGAUAGGACUACGCGAUGCAUGUCGUGUGGUGGAAAGCUUUUGCGGUGUGGGAUGGGCCCGCGGCCUAUCAGCUUGUUGGUGGGGUGAUGGCCUACCAAGGCGACGACGGGUAGCCGGCCUGAGAGGGUGACCGGCCACACUGGGACUGAGAUACGGCCCAGACUCCUACGGGAGGCAGCAGUGGGGAAUAUUGCACAAUGGGCGCAAGCCUGAUGCAGCGACGCCGCGUGAGGGAUGACGGCCUUCGGGUUGUAAACCUCUUUCAGUGCCGACGAAGCGCAAGUGACGGUAGGCAUAGAAGAAGGACCGGCCAACUACGUGCCAGCAGCCGCGGUAAUACGUAGGGUCCGAGCGUUGUCCGGAAUUACUGGGCGUAAAGAGCUCGUAGGUGGUUUGUCGCGUUGUUCGUGAAAACUCACAGCUCAACUGUGGGCGUGCGGGUGAUACGGGCAGACUUGAGUACUGCAGGGGAGACUGGAAUUCCUGGUGUAGCGGUGGAAUGCGCAGAUAUCAGGAGGAACACCGGUGGCGAAGGCGGGUCUCUGGGCAGUAACUGACGCUGAGGAGCGAAAGCGUGGGGAGCGAACAGGAUUAGAUACCCUGGUAGUCC
rnacentral:rRNA from 1 species